rnacentral:rRNA from 1 species
GUAGGUUGCGAGCGUUAUUCGGAUUUACUGGGCGUAAAGAGCACCGAGGUGGCUUCUUAAGUUGGAUGUAAAAUCUCCUGGCUUAACUGGGAGGCGCCAUUCAAAACUGAGGAGCUUGAGGUCAGCAGGGGAAGGUGGAAUUCCCGGUGUAGUGGUGGAAUGCGUAGAGAUCCGGAGGAAGACCGGUGGCGAAGGCGGCCUGCUGGGCAGUUACUGACACUGAGGCGCGACAGCGUGGGGAGCAAACAGGAUUAGAUACCCUGGUAGUCCACGCCGUAAACGAUGGGUACUAGGUGCCUGGGGGAGCGACCCCCUGGGUGCCGGCGCUAACGCAGGAAGUACCCCGCCUGGGGAGUACGGCCGCAAG